AGCGUAAGAACAAUGUUCUGCAAAAAUUAGGGUAUUGUUCUUCAAAAAUUAGGGAUUAAGUUCACUACCCAGAGAGAGAGAAAGCAGAAAAAUCUUGGUGGAAUCAGAACGAUGAACCCGCUAACCCUAGUGAAACGCAUUCAGAACAUCAAUUCCAGAGAAGCCCAAUUAGGGAUUUCAGAGGAGGCGUCGUGGCACGCCAAGUACAAAGACUCCGCCUACGUCUACGUCGGCGGCAUUCCCUUCGAUCUCACCGAAGGCGAUCUCCUCGCCGUUUUCGCACAAUACGGAGAGAUUGUGGAUGUGAAUCUUGUUCGCGAUAAGGCGACUGGGAAAUCCAAAGGGUUUGCGUUUGUGGCGUACGAGGACCAGAGGAGCACGAUUCUUGCUGUGGAUAAUUUGAACGGAGCUCAAAUUUUGGGGCGGACUAUUAGGGUUGAUCAUGUGACCAAGUACAAGAAGAAGGAGGAGGAAGAUGAAGAGGAGGCCCAGAGGAAGAGGGAGGAGCGGGGCGUUUGCCGGGCUUUCCAGAAAGGCGAAUGUACACGCGGAGAUUCGUGCAAGUUUUCACACAAUGAGCAGAGAGCUGCAAACACAGGUUGGGGUGAAAAAGACCCGAAAUGGGGGCGUGACAGUUAUGAGGGCCCAAAAAGGGGUGAGAAAAGAUCUAGUACCAUUCCGCUAAAUCGUGUUCCAGAGCCCAAAGGUCAAGAAGAGUUCAGAUCAGGUGAUAGAGAAUUGGACUCCAGAAGAAAGGGCAACGGGAGGGACUUCGAAAGUCACCCCAAGCGAGGUGAUGGGAGAGAGCGAAAGAGACUGGGAAGACAGGGGGGUGAUGAUGAAAAGUUUGAGCCUAGAUCAAGAGAUCAUGAUAGGGGGGAAGAAAAUAGAUCAAGAAGAUGGAGUGAAGAUGCUGAAUUGGGGCCCAAUUCAAGAGAAAAUUAUGGCAGGAGAGAAGAACAGAGGUCGAGAAGGUACAAUGACGAUGAAUUUCAGCCAAAGUCAAGAGAAGAUUAUGAUAGAAAGGAAGAUAAAAGACCCAGAGGGAGUGGUGGUGAUCAGGAAUUUGAGCCAAAGCUGAAAUCUGGAGAAGAUCACGUUAGGAGGGGAGACGAUAGAAGGGAAAAUAAGAGACUAAGAAGGCAUAGCGAUGAUGGUGAAAUUGAGCCCAAAUCUAAAGAUGAUCGUGGUAGGAGGGAAAAUGAUAGUAGGGAAGAUAAGGGACUGAGAAGGCAUGCUGGUGAUGCUGAUUUUGAUCCAAAGUCUAGAGACAAUCAUGAUAGGAUGGAUGAAAAGAGAUUAAGAAGGCACAUCGAUUAUGAAAAUCAGCCGAAGUCUAGAGAAGAUUAUGAUAGGAGGGAAGAUCAGAAGUCAAGAAGACGCAAUGACAAUGAAUUUGAUCUGAGGUUGAGAGCAGGCAAGGAUAAGAGGGAAGGAGGGAGACUGAGAAGGGAUGGAGAUGAUGAGAUUCAGCCAAAGUCUAGAGAAGGUCGUCAUAGGAGUGAAAAGGGAGAGUGAGAAGAUGGGUUUGAUGAUAAUCUAGGCCAAGAUCAAAAGUAAGAUUAUUGAAGGAAAGAAAAGAGAAGGGAAGAAUACAAGUACCACAAAGCAAGGACCAGAAUCCUAUAUGGAAAAACAUUGAUGAACUAAUGGGUAACACCCAUCAUAAAAAAGAGAGAUAAUGAUGUAAAUCAAAUAUUGAUGCUGUUUCCAAGUUUCCAACUUUGGCCUCCCUUGUAUGCAGUUAGAUCCCUGCUGUUAUGCAAUGUGAAACCACUGCAAGAAGAAUUGGCCUGGAUCGAUGGAACAUACGGGUCGGUAUGUUUCAAUACAUUGAAAAUGCUUGCUGGUUAUUGUGCAAUUAAAUUAUACAUGGUUAAAAAUCGCAAAACAGAAAGGCCUGCUCAAGGUGAGCAAAUACAGAAGUCAAUAAAAGAGGCAGUCAACCAAGUGCUGAAGUCCAUAUUUACAGUUACAAGCCAGUUUCUUCUCCAGUCCCAGGUAAGACGAAAACAAAAUGGUAAGGGUUCUUGCUAACAACAAGAAGUAAAGAAAGUAGUGACUUGAUUCAUCAAGAAUUCUGCCUCUCUGUUGGAUUAGUUCCAAUUGAGCCAUGAGUAGUCAUCGGUGUUCCUAGUUCUUUUGGUGGUGCUUCUCCAGAACUCAUUGUGUUCCAAGUUCUCUCGAAAAUCCAUCUUCAGAAGACAGCGGUUUUCUAAGUUCAUUUGGGAGUGCUUCUUCAGUAGGUAGUGCUGCUCGAGAAGACAUUGACUUUCCAAGUUCUUUUGGCAGUGCUUCUUCAGAAGACAUCAAAUUUCCUAGUUCCAUGGGUAGUUCUUUGGGCGGUGCUGCUUCAGUAGACUUUGUUAUUCCAAGUUCAUUAAAAUUCAUCGAUUUUCCAAGAUCUUUGGAUAUUGCUUCUGCAGGAGAUAAAUAUUUUCCUAGCUCUAUGGGUGGUGAUUCUUUAGAAGGUAUUGGUGUUCCAAGUCCUUUGGGCAGUAUUGCUUCUUCAGAAGGCACUGCUUGUGUUGCAGUUAAACUGGGCGCUAGAACAGGACCUCCUUCAUAAGUAGGCAAGGCCUUAUUGUCUUCAUCUUUCGUACUUUCUGAAAUCAUUCCUGUUGAGGUUGUCGGGGUUGUCUUCUUUAUAGAUUCCUCCUUCACGGCGCUAUUACCAUUGUCUACAACGCGCACUUCCUUCUUUAUACCAAGCAACGCUCCAUCUGCAGAUUUGAUAGCCUUCUCUUCAAUUAUGACCUCAAUGUUGCUGUUAAAUGGUGGGUUUCCAUCCGCAGAGGCAGGUUUAUCUGUAAAAUCCACACCCUUCGUAUUCAUCACCAGUUCUUGAUCUUCAGGACGAGUAACAUUCGUGGGAGUAAUCGGUCCCACAUCGAGGUCUACAAGUAGUGCCUCGUUUUCAUUUGUAAUUUGCACUUCGCUUAUCUUCUGAAGUUCAUAAUCCUUCCAGUCUUCAUCGAUUGAUAUAGUGUUCUUGGUUCUCCAGGUGUGCAGAAUCCGAUCUGGACCGGGUUGCCACAGCACAUCUCCUGUGUCCUUUUUCAGUAUAAACUUGUAUUGGAUUGCUAUGCCAGUAGGAACAUUCUAUUCAAAUUUAAAAACCAAUCAAAUUUCAGAAAUCGCGUACAGAUUUAUACGAUUCAGCCUGUAAAUCAACCAUGUCAGGUAAUGAUCAUUUGGUCUAGUGA